UACGUAGGGGGCUAGCGUUGUCCGGAAUCAUUGGGCGUAAAGCGCGUGUAGGCGGUCCGGUAAGUCCGCUGUGAAAGUCGGGGGCUCAACCCUCGGAUGCCGGUGGAUACUGUCGGGCUUGAGUACGGAAGAGGCGAGUGGAAUUCCUGGUGUAGCGGUGAAAAUGCGCAGAUAUCAGGAGGAACACCAAUUGCGAAGGCAGCUCGCUGGGACGUUACUGACGCUGAGACGCGAAAGCGUGGGGAACGAAACAGGAU
rnacentral:rRNA from 1 species